rnacentral:tRNA from 1 species
AUCAGGUGGGUGUUGGGGAUCACCACCACCACCUCGGAGGUGGUGAGCAGGCGGGUGGCCCGCCAGUUCACCUCCAGCACCCGGCCC